rnacentral:lncRNA from 1 species
GGCCAUUUAAGCCAUUCUUUUUUCUUCUUUUUUUUUUCAGCUUAUAUUUAAAAAAAAAAAAAAGAGGAAAAUAGAGGGCCUUUGCCCCCUCUCCUUCUCCCUUUCCUAUUUUUCUCCUUUGGCUAAGGUUAGGAAACCCAUCAUCGCCGCUGUUACCACGGCAACACCACAAGCGAUGGUCGACGACGCGAAUGGGUGAGGUCAUUUAGCCCCUUUUCAAGGCGUCCCCGAAGGCUACGCCUUCUCGGUCUUCCCCCAUUUGGUUCAACCCCGACAACGGAAGAGGAACCCCGGCGACGAAACUUCAGACAAUCCCGGUGAGGCCUUCUUCCUUUUUCUUUUUAAUUGAUCUUAUGUCUGCCUCAUUUUCUUUUAAAUGAGUUUGUAUUCAAAUAUCAGUAAAAACAAAGUAAUGAAUAGAACGCGAAAAAGUAUAUCGAGAUCAACCUUAGAUAUUUGUUCUCUUAUUUGAUUCAAAAUGUACGUGCCCUCUUCCCCCUUUUACAAAUGAUCGAUUUUUACUUUUUAAAGCCGAUCUCCCCAAAACAUUCAUUUCUUUUUUUGUUUUUGUUCCUUUUUUUUAUUUCUUCUUGUCAUUCGCAUGCUUUCUUUUGAUGUCGUGUUUGUUCUUGUUGCAGGUGCCAUGCGACGCGUGAAAGGGGCAACGGUCAGGGGUGUGGUGGCCGAGGUGGCAUGCGUGGUGGUGUGCGAGGCGGCCACUGGUUGGCCUGGUGUGCGGCUGAGGCUUGGGGGCUGAGUUUUUUUUGCUGCUGAAAAUGUUUAGUUUGUUGGGCUAGGUGGGCUUUAGGGUUUUGUAUUAUUUGGGUCAUUGUAAUUGGGUUUGGGCUGUUCAAUGUGGAAAUUGGGCCUGCUGUUUUUUCUUUUCUUUUUUUUUUGUAAAAUGGACUUUGUUUUGGGACUUUUAUAUUUUGGAAUUAAUUUGGGUUUUUAUUUCUUGUUGGCUAGGCCAAAAUUGGCUAUAACAAUUCCAACGGCCAGAAAGAAAAUACCGACCGACUAGAGCUCUUCGUGGGUUAAGUCACUCGUUGAUGCUUAAAGGUAGGUUUGAAAAAUAGGAAGGAUAAAUAUAUAAUACUUGAAAAUGAGGUUUGGGUAAAAUUUAAUUUUCAUUUUCUAUAUGAGUUAACUUCGAGUAAGAUUUUUUGGUUCGAGUGUAACCCAACUCAGGUUGAAUAUAUUAUAUUAUAAAAAUAAAGUUAUAUUAAUUAUGUAUAUUAAAUAAGGUUAAAUAUAAAAUUAGUAUUCAAACUUGUCCAUCUCUUCUAGAUUGAUACUUAUAAUUUUUUUUGUAUCAAAUUGGUACUUGAAUUUUUUUCCAUCUUGUACCUCUUUUUCUUUUUUAUUUUUCCUUUUUCUUUUUCCUUUUUUUUGGCCUUGCUUUUACACUUCUUCAUAUUUAUUCUUUCUUUCUUUUGUCAAGAACCCUAAAAUCACCACCAAAAUCACAUAUUUCCUUUCCUUUUCCUCCCCAUUUUCUAAUCGCCAUCAACCAACCCCCACCAUUUCUCUUCCCCUUUUGAAACUAACCCACAAAGAUGGCUCUCCUCUAUUUAUUUUUUUUGUCAAUUU